rnacentral:misc_RNA from 2 species
AGCAGCCGCGGUAAUUCCAGCUCCAAUAGCGUAUAUUAAAGUUGUUGCAGUUAAAAAGCUCGUAGUUGAACUUCAGGCCUGUCCAGAUGGUCCGCCUUAAUUGGUGUGUACUGUCCUUGGGUGGGUCCUACCUUCUGGCGAAGCGGCAUGGCCUUAAUUGGUUGUGUUGGGGAACCAGGACUUUUACUGUGAAAAAAUUAGAGUGUUCAAAGCAGGCAAAUAUGCUCGAAUACAUUAGCAUGGAAUAAUGGAAUAGGACGAUGGUUCUAUUUUGUUGGUUCUAGGACCGUUGUAAUGAUUAAUAGGGAUAGUUGGGGGCAUUAGUAUUCAAUUGUCAGAGGUGAAAUUCUUGGAUUUAUUGAAGACUAACUACUGCGAAAGCAUUUGCCAAGGAUGUUUUCAUUAAUCAAGAACGAAAGUUAGGGGAUCGAAGACGAUCAGAUACCGUCGUAGUCUUAACCAUAAACUAUGCCGACUAGGAAUCGGGCGAUGUUGACAAAAUGACUCGCUCGGCACCUCA